rnacentral:rRNA from 1 species
CUGGUUGAUCCUGCCAGAGGUUACUGCUAUCGAGAUUCGACUAAGCCAUGCGAGUCGAAUGUUCUUCGUGAACAUGGCGAACUGCUCAGUAACACGUGGACAACCUACCCUUGGGUUCGGCAUAAUCCUGGGAAACUGGGGAUAAUACCGGAUAGGUCACAGCUGCUGGAAUGCACUGUGGCUCAAAGCUCCGGCGCCCAAGGAUGGGUCUGCGGCCUAUCAGGGUUGUAGUGGGUGUAAUGUACCUACUAGCCUACGACGGGUACGGGUUGUGAGAGCAAGAGCCCGGAGAUGGAUUCUGAGACACGAAUCCAGGCCCUACGGGGUGCAGCAGGCGCGAAAACUUUACAAUGCGGGAAACCGUGAUAAGGGAAUCUCGAGUGCCAGCAUAUAAUGUUGGCUGUCCAGAUGCCUAAAAAGCAUCUGUUAGCAAGGGCCGGGCAAGACCGGUGCCAGCCGCCGCGGUAACACCGGCGGCCCGAGUGGUAACCGCUAUUAUUGGGUCUAAAGGGUCUGUAGCCGGCCAGGUAAGUCCCUUGGGAAAUCUGGCAGCUCAACUGUCAGGCUGCUAGGGGAUACUGUUUGGCUUGGGACCGGGAGAGGUGAGAGGUACCUUGGGGGUAGGGGUGAAAUCUUGUGAUCCUCGGGGGACCACCAGUGGCGAAGGCGUCUCACCAGAACGGGUCCGACGGUAAGGGACGAAAGCUAGGGGCACGAACCGGAUUAGAUACCCGGGUAGUCCUAGCCGUAAACGAUGCUCGCUAGGUGUCAGUCACGGUGCGACCGUGAUUGGUGCCGUAGGGAAGCCGUGAAGCGAGCCACCUGGGAAGUAUGGCCGCAAGGCUUGAAACUUAAAGGAAUUGGCGGGGGAGCACUAC